AUGUAGUGCUAUGACAAGUCAAAAUGCCAUUUAAAACCUCUGUUCUGUUAUAGGUAGUUUAUACUAUGGCCAUGUCGGUUCAUAGUCUGUGUUCGGUGCAGUGCAGUCUGGAGGUGGCAGAAACUUUUGUACAGUCAAGAAAGGUGACAGUGGAAUCAAUCUCCGUAGCUAUCCCCGAGAGUACGCCUGAGUUGGUGCUCGUGAAUCUGGAAGUGACAGUAUGAUUCCACAGCCGCAGUGCUGGAAUCGUUCUUUUGGGGAGCCCAUGUUCCAGUCUGACUCAAACUCCACGACAUCUGUGCCACCCCUAUGAAAGGCAGUGCCAUGCCCACUGCAAACAUAAACCAUGGAGAUGCAAGGAAGGGUGAGUGUUUAUAGUAUUCUGUCUGUGUUUGCUAACCACACAAUAAGAUAGAGUUGAUUGCACACUCAUACAGAAACACACACACCAAUCAAGAUAAUCCCUUUAGGGCCCAAUACAUGAUGACAGUGAAGCAACCUAAAAGGAGAAACUGAAGAUUGCUCAUAAACAAAUGAUGGGAGGCAAACAAAAGUAUAGAAGAAUCUGUCCAGAUACCUCUGUCUUUUUGUCCCAUACAGUGAGGCCAAUAUCUUUCUCCAGA